rnacentral:rRNA from 1 species
CCUACGUGAGGCAGCAGUAGGGAAUCUUCCACAAUGGGCGAAAGCCUGAUGGAGCAACGCCGCGUGGGUGAAGAAGGUCUUCGGAUCGUAAAACCCUGUUGUUAGAGAAGAAAGUGCGUGUGAGUAACUGUUCACGUAUCGACGGUAUCUAACCAGAUAGCCACGGCUAACUACGUGCCAGGAGCCGCGGUGAUGCGUAGGUGGCAAGCGUUGUCCGGAUUUGUUGGGCGUAAAGGGAACGCAGGCGGUCUUUUAAGUCAGAUGUGAAAGCCUUCGGCUUAACCGGAGUAGUGCAUUGGAAACUGGGAGACGUGAGUGCAGAAGAGGAGAGAGGAACGCAAUGUGUAGCGGUGAAAUGCGUAGAUAUAUGGCAGAACACCAGUGGCGAAGGCGGCUCUCUGGUCUGUAACUGACGCUGAGGUUCGAAAGCGUGGGUAGCAAACAGGAUUAGAUACCCCUGUAGUC